GCCAGCAUAGUGUAGUGUUUUGAACAUUAGAUUAUGAUCCUGGAGACCAGGGUUUGAUCCCCUGCUUGGCC